AAAUAGUUGUCAAGAUAUAUAAACAACAAUAGGAUUUGGGUGGUAUAUAUUAAGCAAUAACAAAAUAGGUCAUUAAAUGUAGGGUGUACGCUGUUAUGGAGCAGACUGUAAAUUCUUUCACCUGGCACAGCGGUGAAGCGAUAACACGACCCCGAUGUCAAGCUGCGAGGAUCGCGAGAUCAUCUCGAGAUUAGUACAUUCCGUGUAAAAUUUAAUGUAAUGACGCGCUUACAUGUAUGCUACUAAAUUAUACACAUGCUAUCGGA